GUUCAGAUGACCGAGUGGUUAAGGUGAUGCCCUGCUAAGGCAUUGUGCUUUGCACGCGGGUGUUCGAAUCGCCCUCUGAACG
rfam:Schizophyllum commune H4-8 unplaced genomic scaffold SCHCOscaffold_6, whole genome shotgun sequence.